UACGUAGGGUGCGAGCGUUGUCCGGAUUUACUGGGCGUAAAGAGCUCGUAGGCGGUUUGUCACGUCGUCUGUGAAAACCCGAGGCUUAACCUCGGGCCUGCAGGCGAUACGGGCAGACUUGAGUACUGUAGGGGAGACUGGAAUUCCUGGUGUAGCGGUGGAAUGCGCAGAUAUCAGGAGGAACACCGGUGGCGAAGGCGGGUCUCUGGGCCGAUACUGACGCUGAGGAGCGAAAGCGUGGGGAGCGAACAGG
rnacentral:rRNA from 1 species